CAUGGAGGGGCUGCGGCGGGGGCUGUCGCGCUGGAAGCGCUACCACAUCAAGGUGCACCUGGCGGACGAGGCGCUGCUGCUGCCGCUGACCGUGCGGCCGCGGGACACGCUCAGCGACCUGCGCGCCCAGCUGGUGGGCCAGGGCGUGAGCUCCUGGAAGCGCGCCUUCUACUACAACGCGCGGCGGCUGGACGACCACCAGACGGUGCGCGACGCGCGCCUGCAGGACGGCUCGGUGCUGCUGCUCGUCAGCGACCCCAGGUAGCCUGGCUUGGAGGAGGCAGAGCCAUGACCGAGGGGACCCAGGUACUGGCGGGAGGAAUAUGCUGGGGUAGGGGGCACUUUUGGAAGGUACGUCUUCUGCCUCCUGGGAGCCUAGAUCUCACUCCAGGGUCUGGGCUCCCAGGAGGACGGUGAAACCCUGGCCCGACCAGCUGAUGCACCCUGCUUCAGACGCUCCUGCCGGAGCCCCAGUCCCUUACGGACCUAGGACAUUUCUGCUCCUACCCAGCCUACCAGGAGGGAGCCUUGAGCCUUUCAGCUCUGCUGCGUGACUUUGAGGCGCUGGCUCCCCUCUUGGGGCCCUGGGUGCCCUGUCUUCAGUGGGAAGCACUGCGCCACUGCGGAAGGCUCCCAGGGACAGCCAGAGGACAUCGCAUGAGGAGAAGGACAGGGCAGAGGAAGAGCACUCGGAGGCACUUCCCCUCUUGCCCACAAUAUUCUUCCAGCCACACCUUUGCCCAAGCCAUGCUCCCUGCCUGGAGCACUUUCAACCUCUUCUCCGCAGCUCCAAUCCACCUGGGGUUGCAGCCUCCUCCAGGAAGUCUUCUUGGAUUCCCUCCUUCCCAGACAGAGAGCACCUAGCCCUCAUUGGGGUCCUCACAGGCCCUUCGUGCAGUGAACAGCCCUGGCUGGAGGGGCAGCCAGUCCUGCCCGAGCUCUCCAGUGACUAAGUAGGGAGAUGCCGUCAUCCCAGCUCCUUCUCAGGCCUCCACCAGCGCCCCACCUCCACCCCAAGUGCCUCCACAGCAGGCACCGGUGCCCACCCCGUGGGCGGUUUCCCCUUCCCCUUCAACCCGGAUGCCUCGCUGUCUGCCAAGGGUCUCGGGGUGGUGGGGGAGGGGGUCUGAAGGCCUCCGGCCAAGCGCAGGCGGAUCUGGGGGUGGCGAACUGGGCAUCUCGGGGCUUUGCCGGGAAUGUGUCGUGGGAAUUCCAAGUGGAUGGAGACCCUCAGGGUUGCACCUGUGACCUGCAGCCAUGCCACCAUUGCUCGGCCCCUGGGGAGCGGGGUGGGGGAGAGGAUUGGGGGAGGGGGCACAGGGGCUGCGUAUGUCCUCCAGGGCCAUGUUCCCUAUCCAGGCACCACGGGCGGAGGUGCCGGAACCUGGAGCCUGGGAAGAAAGAAAUUAUUAUUAUUUUUUGAGAUGGAGACUCGCCCUGUCGCCCAGGCUGG